rnacentral:misc_RNA from 1 species
ACCUUAUCAUUUAGAGGAAGGAGAAGUCGUAACAAGGUUUCCGUAGGUGNACCUGCGGAAGGAUCAUUGUCAAAACCUCUGGAAGAGCAGAACGACCCGCGAACUCGUGAUAACAAUCGUGGGGAGCGGUGGCUUCGCGGGGGCGAACAMCGAACCCCCAGGGCGGUCUGCKSUAAGGAAAUCUAACGAGAGAGCACGCUCUCMSGGCCCCGUACACGGUGSUCUGGGACGCGGUGCCUUCUUUCACUCUAUCUAUAACGACUCUCGGCAACAGAUAUCUCUCGCAUCGAUGAAGAACGUAGYGAAAUGCGAUACUUGGUGUGAAUUAUAGAAUCCCGCUAACCAUCGAGUCUUUGAACGCAAGUUGCGCCCCAAGCCUUUAGGCCGAGGGCACAUCUACCUAGGUGUCACGCAUCGUUGCCCCACCCCACCCCCUCCGGGGGGCCUGGCGGUGCGGGCGGAUAAUGGCCUCCUGUGCGCUCUCCGCUCGCGGCUGGCCCAAAAUCUGAGUCCCCGAUGACCGGAGCCUCGACGAUCCGUGGUGAAAACAAACCUCUCGAGCUCACGUCUCAUGCCCCGGCCCCCUAUUCCGGGACUCAUGGUCCCCGAAGCCCUGCGCAAGCAGGCACUCGCAUCGCGACCCC